UACGUAGGGUGCAAGCGUUAAUCGGAAUUACUGGGCGUAAAGCGUGCGCAGGCGGUCGUGCAAGACAGAUGUGAAAUCCCCGGGCUUAACCUGGGAACUGCAUUUGUGACUGCACGGCUGGAGUGCGGCAGAGGGGGAUGGAAUUCCGCGUGUAGCAGUGAAAUGCGUAGAUAUGCGGAGGAACACCGAUGGCGAAGGCAAGCCCCUGGGCCUGCACUGACGCUCAUGCACGAAAGCGUGGGGAGCGAACAGG
rnacentral:rRNA from 1 species